GUAAACUAUCUAGUCAGCGAGCUUACCUAUGCAUUGUGACGUCAUAAACUUGGCAGCGACGUCAUGUUAGUCCUUCACAAGCCGCGAUGGCUGCUUAUUUUGACACAAUAACACAGACUUUCACAGCGCUUGAGACUUCAUGUAAUAACAGUAUGGUCCUAUGGAUUUCAGUACCAAAACUGAUUUUCUACCGUUUUUCUUCCAAGAAAGUUCUGAACAGCUGAAUCCUGGAUCAGCCUAGAUGUUAUUUCACUGGAUUAUUUAAUGAAUAUUACUCUACUGAGUUACCUGGUUACAUGGAUCAGCUAAGAUGUUGUUUCACUGGAUUAUUUAAUUGGGCAUAUAAUUGGAUAAUUCUGUCCUCAACCUGGAAGAUAUGUUUUAUUCCUAACCAUCUAUAAUCCAUUCUCUAUGAAGUUCAGCCUGUCUGCCCAAAUUCCUUUGGAAAUACAUAGUUAGUCAACCAACAUAGAAACAAUCAAACUUGAAGUCAUCAACAUGGAAGAUAUGUUUUGUUCCUAACCAUCUAUAAUCCAUUCUCUAUGAAGUUCAGCCUGUCUGCUCUUCCUUUGGAAAUACACAGUUAGUCAAUCAACAUAGAAACACACAAACUUGAAGGGAAAGAAUACUAUAAUGUGGAUCCUGGGGAUCAACAGUGAAACAUCUUAAUGACCCUCUUGACUAGGUCUACAGGCUGUAACCUUUAUUGCUGAUGUAAGAUGAUCUGAUUGCAUGGCAUUAAAAUUUCCUGGUGUUUCUACUUUCCAGGAUCUUCUUAUGAGUGCAUGGGGACUGCUGUGGACCUUAACCUGUUUAUAAAAAUAUACCUUGGAGCAUGACACUUUAUUCAUAAAAGUCAUCAACAUGGAAGAUAUGUUUUGUUCCUAACCAUCUAUAAUCCAUUCUCUAUGAAGUUCAGCCUGUCUGCUCUUCCUUUGGAAAUACACAGUUAGUCAAUCAACAUAGAAACACACAAACUUGAAGGAUUCUCAAUGGGGAACUCAGUAAAUUAUGCACAGACUAACAGAAUAUACUCUCUUGGAACACUGAUACAAGAAUAUAAAACCAGAGAUGGAUGGAGGACUCAAGAAGCACAUGAAUAAAUAUGAUUCCAAACUAAGUCAAUCAUGAUGAUCAUGAAUUGUGGUUCACAGGAUAAGAGAGAAAGGACCCAGGAUUGUGCAUUUUUCUAGAUCCUCUCCCAUUCAUAUCCUUCAUAUGCUGGCAUACAAAACAAUAGAUAAAUUGUAGUCAUUUAACAGACUGAAGUUUAAUCAAAUCAAAGUAUUGAAAAUGUGUUUUUCUGAUAGUAUGAGAUCUUCAAAAAAAUAAUUCUCACAGAUUUCAAAGUAUCUAAAUAUAACUUUUAAUUUAUGUAGUACAAAUUGAAUACAGUUGUUAUGUAUGACUUUUAUACAUUGAAUCCUUAAUUUUUCAUCUUAUAUCUACAACACCCCUAGAAAAUACACAGAUAUUCAGAAGCUAGCUUUGGUGUAUUUAUUACUUUCCUGGAACUGUAAAUACAUUUUAUUUAGAAUGUGUUUAUCCUAUUUUGAAUUUAAUACGUCUCAAUAAGACCCACCAUAAAGAUGCAAGUGUCCCAUAAUCUGUGAUGUAAUAAUAUCUUGAAUAUUUUUAUCAACCAUUAGACUUCAUGCUUACUACACAGAACAAGUUAGAGUAAUACACUUAGUUUUAUAGGACACUUUGUCAGGGUCAAAGCAUGAGAUUAUUGAGAUAACUACCUUUGACAAUAAUUUGUAACCUGCAAAAUUCACAUCAUAAGUAAAGAAAGAUUCGGAGAUUUUCUAUAGAUUUUU